CCCGGGUGGGAAAAUGCUGAAUCUGCUUGCCGAAUCCGUGGUGCAAAAAUGCGAAAUGCAUGCGCUGAAUCUGCGCGUGCAGUGCGACUCCCAAUGGCCCAUGAGCCUCGCCGUCGCCGGUAUACCUGCAACGGGUUCGGUUCGACCCGUUUCUAAAGCCGACCCGCACCUGGAAUUAGCCAAUGGAUCGAAUCGGGUCGACCCAGAGCAGAAGAGGGCCUAAAGGGUCGUGACCCUGUCGACCCCCGGUGAUCCUCGGGUUGACCCUCCGACUCCCUCGUAGCUUCAGCUGCUCACCGCCGCCCACUGCCCAGUCGUCGUCGUCGCUGCUGCCGCCACCGCCCUCCUCAUCCUCCUCCUCCGCCACUUCCCUCACACUACGGCCUUAUCUUGGAUUCCUGCGCACGAGUACCUCCCUGCCCGUCACAGAUCUGGCGGCGGCAGCGGCGACGACGGCGGCAGUGGUGAAGGCUCCAUCCUCGACACCUCUCUGCUCGGUGGAGCUUGGCAUGCAUAUGUUCCAAGACUUGAGAUUCUCACACCAUAAUGUUCAGAAGAUGCAUGAGGCUUGCUCAAAGCUGCUAUUGCUAUUAGGGAUUUUGAUCCUGUUAUUUUCCUAAAAAAUGAAUUUUUGUUUGUCAGUGUGAUCUUGUUGAAUUAUUUUGCUAGCCACCUAUCAUUUUGAAAUUAUUUGUAGGAUAAAUGUUCUCAUGGUCAUGUAAAUGAUAUGCUUAUUUCCCUCCCUGCAAUGGAAAUACACUUUCCGUAGUGAAUGUUCUCAAGUAUCAAGAGAGGUUAUCUACGUUCUGAACUAUUUGUAGUAAUGAAUCUUAAACUCUGUUUUAAUAAAUGAUCCACCCCCGUUAAGAUUGUU